rnacentral:rRNA from 1 species
GAUGAACGCUGGCGGCGUGCUUAACACAUGCAAGUCGAACGGUGAAGGAGAGCUUGCUCUUUGGAUCAGUGGCGAACGGGUGAGUAACACGUGAGCAACCUGCCCCUGACUCUGGGAUAAGCGCUGGAAACGGCGUCUAAUACUGGAUAUGUGACGUGACCGCAUGGUCUGCGUUUGGAAAGAUUUUUCGGUUGGGGAUGGGCUCGCGGCCUAUCAGCUUGUUGGUGAGGUAAUGGCUCACCAAGGCGUCGACGGGUAGCCGGCCUGAGAGAGUGACCGGCCACACUGGGACUGAGACACGGCCCAGACUCCUACGGGAGGCAGCAGUGGGGAAUAUUGCACAAUGGGCGGAAGCCUGAUGCAGCAACGCCGCGUGAGGGAUGACGGCCUUUGGGUUGUAAACCUCUUUUAGCAGGGAAGAAGCGUGAGUGACGGUACCUGCAGAAAAAGCACCGGCUAACUACGUGCCAGCAGCCGCGGUAAUACGUAGGGUGCAAGCGUUAUCCGGAAUUAUUGGGCGCAAAGAGCUCGUAGGCGGUUUGUCGCGUCUGCUGUGAAAUCUGGGGGCUCAACCCCCAGCCUGCAGUGGGUACGGGCAGACUAGAGUGCGGUAGGGGAGAUUGGAAUUCCUGGUGUAGCGGUGGAAUGCGCAGAUAUCAGGAGGAACACCGAUGGCGAAGGCAGAUCUCUGGGCCGUAACUGACGCUGAGGAGCGAAAGGGUGGGGAGCAAACAGGCUUAGAUACCCUGGUAGUCCACCCCGUAAACGUUGGGAACUAGUUGUGGGGUCCAUUCCACGGAUUCCGUGACGCAGCUAACGCAUUAAGUUCCCCGCCUGGGGAGUACGGCCGCAAGGCUAAAACUCAAAGGAAUUGACGGGGACCCGCACAAGCGGCGGAGCAUGCGGAUUAAUUCGAUGCAACGCGAAGAACCUUACCAAGGCUUGACAUAUACGAGAACGGGCCAGAAAUGGUCAACUCUUUGGACACUCGUAAACAGGUGGUGCAUGGUUGUCGUCAGCUCGUGUCGUGAGAUGUUGGGUUAAGUCCCGCAACGAGCGCAACCCUCGUUCUAUGUUGCCAGCACGUAAUGGUGGGAACUCAUGGGAUACUGCCGGGGUCAACUCGGAGGAAGGUGGGGAUGACGUCAAAUCAUCAUGCCCCUUAUGUCUUGGGCUUCACGCAUGCUACAAUGGCCGGUACAAAGGGCUGCAAUACCGUGAGGUGGAGCGAAUCCCAAAAAGCCGGUCCCAGUUCGGAUUGAGGUCUGCAACUCGACCUCAUGAAGUCGGAGUCGCUAGUAGUCGCAGAUCAGCAACGCUGCGGUGAAUACGUUCCCGGGUCU